GUUUAAAAUAGAAAUUUUGUUCUAGAAGUUGUUAUUUUUUGCUAUGAAACACAUCACCAUAAUGCACUUUAUUAAAUAACAUUAUGGUUAAAUGGCCAAUUCAAGUAUAUUUUUCUGAAAUUCCUUAUAAAGUCUAAAAAUGUCUCUACCCUGGCCUGUCCUCUUGCCAACUUCAGUUUAAUUUGAAUACGAUACAUUACUUCUUUAUAUCAGUUGCUAAACUAAAAUAUGUUAAACACGAACUUCAUUAAAUAUAUUUAAUUAUUAUUAAUAAAAAAUUCAACAAUAUUUAUUUAUUUCCAAUAAUUUUUAAAUUUAAAGUUUGUCCCACUUUGUUUUGUGUAUCUACCCUGGCAAAUUUCAUUCAGCUACUAAAAACAUAAUAUAAAACAGAUAUAUUCGAAAUAGUGCUCAAGAUUAUCUAUCGAUGUGUAGUUAGCAAUACAAAACACACGAGCCAUGAGAGAGACAAGAAUCUACAGGUCGAGCAAGUCUCGUAAAUUUCACGAUUGCGAGCCACGCUUCACGCAACCGUGUUUGCGUACUUGUGUUUCGAGUUGCGUGGUCGUGCGGAGUUAUAUUUACCAAAUUUAAAUCCGUUCCAACAUGCUGUCAAAAUUAAAUCAAUAUGUCAAUAUGGCUACUUGGUGUAAAAGAUAAAUCUUAUUCUAUCUGUUCUUAAUGAGUUUUAGAUAAUUUUAGUUGUAUUUCUUUGUAAUUUUGUGUUGUACAAAGAUUAAUUUAACAUUUUCUCUGGAAGUAUUAAUUUAGAAAGAUAAUAUGCUUCAUUGGUGUUGUGUUUUGAAGUGUGAAAUGCAAAGUAAUUGUGAUAAAGUCAAGAUAAAGUUCACUUUUAAACUGAACUAAAUAAGGUAUCUGAGAGACAACAAUGGUUAUUAAAUGCAAUACAAUGUACAGGUUUUACUAGCGAAAUGAAAAUUUUCCUGUCCUGUCUGCUGUAAUCAUUUUAUAUCUGGAAAACCAGCCGACUUAAUCGAUAAUAACAAUCUCCAGAUUGGGUUCCUUCAAUAAAUAUGGGCUAUAAACACAAUGAAAUAAGUUCCCCAAAAUCUAAAAUGGAGUGGUAUCAAAGGAGAAUUAAAGGAAAAAAUAUUCAUAUUGAAAUUAUUUAUAAGGCACUGGACUGUCUUAAAUUCUACAAUAAUACUAGAAUCAGCUGAGAGAAGUGGUCUACAAAAAACCAGGAAGGAAACGGAAUAUGUGGCUACGAAAGGCAAAAGAAAGGUUUACAAAGCAAAUGUGACACAUUUUUUUGAAAUAUUUAGGAAUAUCAGUAAAUUGCAUUAAAAAAAUGUAUGAAAAGAUUUUGUUCAAUAAAAAUGUUUAUAUUUA
rnacentral:lncRNA from 1 species